rnacentral:ncRNA from 2 species
CCAGCCGAGAGGCGUUGCAACGGACCCGCGGUCCGCCACGCUCGGCGAAGCUCCAAGGACGCCUUCCGACA